rnacentral:rRNA from 1 species
AUACGGAAGGUCCGGGCGUUAUCCGGAUUUAUUGGGUUUAAAGGGAGCGCAGGCGGAGAUGCAAGCGUGACGUCAAAUUUCGGGGCUCAACCCCGUCUCGCGUCGCGAACUGCGUCCCUUGGUUGCGGGAAGGGGAGGCGGAACUCGUGGUGUAGCGGUGGAAUGCAUAGAUAUCACGAAGAACUCCGAUCGCGAAGGCUGCCUGCAGGCCGGUAAACGACGCGCACGCUCGAAGGUGCGGGUAGCAAACAGGCUGAGAUACCCUGGUAGUAAGCCCAGUAAACGAUGUCCCCGCGCGGUUUGGCCUGUAUGGCUGAGCCGCCAAGCGAAAGCGUUAAGUGUCCCACCCGGGGAGUACGCCGGCAACGGUGAAACUCAAAGGAAUUGACAGGG